CAGGACGAACGCUGGCGGCGUGCUUAACACAUGCAAGUCGAACGAAGCAUUGUGAAGGAGGCUUCGGCCAAUGGAUCAAAUGACUUAGUGGCGGACGGGUGAGUAACGCGUGAGCAACCUGCCUUUCAGAGGGGGAUAACGUUUGGAAACGAACGCUAAUACCGCAUGACAUAGCUUUAUCGCAUGGUAGGGCUAUCAAAGGAGCAAUCCGCUGAAAGAUGGGCUCGCGUCCGAUUAGAUAGUUGGUGGGGUAACGGCCUACCAAGUCGACGAUCGGUAGCCGGACUGAGAGGUUGAACGGCCACAUUGGGGCUGAGACACGGCCCAGACUCCUACGGGAGGCAGCAGUGGGGAAUAUUGCACAAUGGGCGCAAGCCUGAUGCAGCAACGCCGCGUGAGGGAAGACGGUUUUCGGAUUGUAAACCUCUGUCCUUGGUGACGAAGAAUGACGGUAGCCAAGGAGGAAGCCACGGCUAACUACGUGCCAGCCGCUGC
rnacentral:rRNA from 1 species